AGCAUAUCAAUAAGCGGAGGAAAAGAAACCAACAGGGAUUGCCCUAGUAACGGCGAGUGAAGCGGCAAAAGCUCAGAUUUGAAAUCUGGCGUCAUUUUGACGUUCGAGUUGUAGUCUGUAGAAGGUGUAUUCGAGUGUGGCUCUGGCUUAAGUUCCUCCGAACAGGGCGUCAUAGAGGGUGAGAACCCCGUUAACGGCCUUUGUCUUAUGCUCAUGUGAAUCUCCUUCAACGAGUCGAGUUGUUUGGGAAUGCAGCUCUAAAUGGGUGGUAAAUUCCAUCUAAAGCUAAAUACAGGCAAGAGACCGAUAGCGCACAAGUAGAGUGAUCGAAAGAUGAAAAGAACUCUGAACAGAGAGUGAAAUAGUACGUGAAAUUGUUGAAAGGGAAGCACUUGCGACCAGACGUACUUGCAGCCGAUCAAUCCUCAUUCUUGGGGGUGCACUCGGUUGUCUGUAGGUCAGCAUCAGUUAUGGUGGUGGGAAAAAGACGAGGGGAAUGUGGCUUCUUUCGGGGAGUGUUAUAGCCCUUGGUGUAAUGUCGCCUGCUAUGACUGAGGAUCGCGCCUUUGGCGAGGAUGCUGGCAUAAUGGUCGUAAGUGACCCGUCUUGAAACACGGACCAAGGAGUCUAACAUCUAUGCGAGUGUUUGGGUGUUCAAACCCUUACGCGGAAUGAAAGUAAACGGAGGUGGGAACCGCAAGGUGCACCAUCGACCGAUCCUGAUGUUCUCGGAUGGAUUUGAGUAGGAGCAUAGCUGUUGGGACCCGAAAGAUGGUGAACUAUGCCUGAAUAGGGUGAAGCCAGAGGAAACUCUGGUGGAGGCUCGCAGCGGUUCUGACGUGCAAAUCGAUCGUCAAAUUUGGGUAUAGGGGCGAAAGACUAAUCGAACCAUCUAGUAGCUGGUUCCGGCCGAAGUUUCCCUCAGGAUA
rnacentral:rRNA from 1 species